rnacentral:rRNA from 1 species
AUUGAACGCUGGCGGCAGGCCUAACACAUGCAAGUCGAACGAGUGGCGGACGGGUGAGUAAUGCCUGGGCAACUGCCCGAUGGAGGGGGAUAACUACUGGAAACGGUAGCUAAUACCGCAUACCAUCGGAGGAGCCCAUAUGGGAUUAGCUAGUAGGUGGGGUAAUGGCUCACCUAGGCGACGAUCCCUAGCUGGUCUGAGAGGAUGACCAGCAACACUGGAACGGAGACACGGCCCAGACUCCUACGGGAGGCAGAAGUGGGGAAUAUUGCACAAUGGGGGAAAGCCGGAUGAAGCCAUGCCGCGGGUAUGAAGAAGGCCUUCGGGUUGUAAAGUACUUUCAGCGAGGCGGCGUUACCCGCAGAAGAAGCACCGGCUAACUCCGUGCCAGCAGCCGCGGUAAUUC